rnacentral:misc_RNA from 1 species
UUGUGGAGGAGGACGCCGAAGGUGGGGCUGAUGACUGGGGUGAAGUCGUAACAAGGUAGCCGUACCGGAAGGUGCGGCUGGAUCACCUCCUAACAGGGAGACAACAAAAGAUCAUGAUGUCUGAGUAAAUUAUUCUUAGUCCACGAUCCUGUCACCUUAGGUCGAUCGGUACCUCAAUAUUGAUGCAAAAGACUGGAUAGAGCAAUCAGUCUAGUCUUAUGUAUAGUUUUCAGUUCCUAAACUUGUCUAGGUCACACCCAGCAAGGGUAAUCCUGGGCCAUUAGCUCAGGUGGUUAGAGCGCACCCCUGAUAAGGGUGAGGUCCCUGGUUCAAGUCCAGGAUGGCCCAUUCGAUGUUGGGGGUAUAGCUCAGUUGGUAGAGCGCCUGCUUUGCAAGCAGGAUGUCAGCGGUUCGAGUCCGCUUACCUCCACUGAUCCAACUCCUGAUGACGAAACCCAAGGAUAUUUGUGUUGAUGUGAUCUAGCAUAUGUUCUUAAAUGAAUGAACCUAGCUUCUUGUCAUUCCUCAAAAAAUAGUUUUUUGUAUGGCUGAAAGGACGCUGGGCUCACUUCAUUCUUUAUUAGGAAUGAAGAGAUGUUCAGCAGAACCUUGACAACUGCAUAGUGAGUCUGGAAAAAGAAAAAGCAUCUCAUAGAUGCAUUGUUUUCCUUAAGUUCUUUGCCACCGGCAAUAGAACUUUGAAAGACAAUGUUUUUUAUUGAGUAAGAGUAGAAAAUCUAAGGUUUUUUUACUAAUUUCUUGAAAUUCUUUUUAAGGAUUAAGUAUAAGACUUUAGAUUAUUAAUUUUGGUCAAGCUACAAA